rnacentral:lncRNA from 1 species
AAAAAUAAACCCUGAAUGUGGAAUGAAACAACAGCAGCGGAAACUCAAUUAGCUAGAGUGCAAGUUUACAGCUCCAAACCAGAUAACCCAGCAAGCUCCAAAACCAAAUAGCUCCAGCAAAUUCGAUAAUUUCAACAGCUCAAGUCAUUUAGGGAAAUCCCAGAAAAUGCAUAUCAACUAACGAAAAUCAGAAACAGCUUUCAAUUUCUUUGUUUCCCGAUCGGGAAUUUUAUUUUUAUUCUUAGCUCUAAUCUAUGCUUCUACUGUGUGAGUGAGAUAAGAUGAGUAUAGGGGGGUUGAGUAACAUCGGAGCCAAUUCUUUGGAGUGGUGUAUUUCUUCGUAAAUGAUGAUUUCGAAUUGGAUGGUUUAGUGAUUCCUCUGCCUCUCUUCUUUUGCUUGUACAAACCUUUCAUGUCUGAUUUUGUCUCCA